UGACCGAUAAUGAACCAGUACCGUGAGGGAAAGGUGAAAAGAACCCCGGGAGGGGAGUGAAAAGAACAUGAAACCAUAAACUUACAACCAGUAGGAGGACGACUUAAACGUCUGACUGCGUGCCUGUUGAAGAAUGAGCCGGCGACUUAUAGGUAGUGGCAGGUUAAGGCAGAGAAUGCCGGAGCCAUAGUGAAAGCGAGCCUGAAUAGGGCAUAUGUCACUGGUUAUAGACCCGAACCCGGAUGAUCUAACCAUGGUCAGGUUGAAGCUUAGGUAAUACUAAGUGGAGGACCGAACCGACUGAUGUUGAAAAAUCAGCGGAUGAACUGUGGUUAGGGGUGAAAUGCCAAUCGAAUUCGGAGCUAGCUGGUUCUCCCCGAAAUGCGUUUUGGCGCAGCGAUAAAUGUUAUAACUUAGGGGUAAAGCACUGUUACGUAUGCGGGCUGGUAAUUCGGUACCAAAUCGUUGCAAACUAAGAAUACUAAGUGUA
rnacentral:rRNA from 1 species